AUUUAACGCUGGCGGCAUGCCUUACACAUGCAAGUCGAACGGUAUCGGGCCUUCGGGUGCCGACGAGUGGCGAACGGGUGAGUAAUGUAUCGGAACGUACCUUUCAGUGGGGGAUAACGUAGCGAAAGUUACGCUAAUACCGCAUAUUCUGUGAGCAGGAAAGCAGUGGACCGCAAGACCUUGCGCGGAUUGAGCGGCCGAUAUCCGAUUAGCUGGUUGGUGAGGUAAAGGCUCACCAAGGCGACGAUCUGUAGCGGGUCUGAGAGGAGGAUCCGCCACAAUGGAACUGAGACACGGUCCAGACUCCUACGGGAGGCAGCAGUGGGGAAUUUUGGAAAAUGGGGGCAACCCUGAUACAGCCAUGCCGCGUGAGUGAAGAAGGCCUUCGGGUUGUAAAGCUCUUUCGGCCGGGAAGAAAUCGUAUCAGCUAAUACCUGGUGCGGAUGACGGUACCGGCAUAAGAAGCACCGGCUAACUACGUGCCAGCAGCCGCCGCGGUAA
rnacentral:rRNA from 1 species